AGUCACUGACAUUAGAUACCCCUGUAGUCCAGGGUGUAAACGCUGCAGACUUGGUGUUGGAGGCCCUUUGGGGGCAUUCAGUGCCGGAGAGAAGUUGUUAAGUCUGCUACUUGGGGAGUACGUCCGCAAGGAUGAAACUUAAAGGAAUUGGCGGGGGAGCACCGCAACGGGAGGGAGCGUGCGGUUUAAUUGGAUUCAACACCGUAAAACUCACCAGGGAAGACUGUUACAUGAAGGCCGAGAUGAAGACUCUGCUAGAUUUUCAG
rnacentral:rRNA from 1 species